GGUGACGUGGCCGAGCGGUUAUGGCGCUAGUUUCAGGAACUUCUCAUCCCUUUCCCUAGGGUGAUAAGAAUCAAUCAAUACUAGUUCGAAAGAGCAUGGGUUCGAAUCCCAUCGUCAUCA